UACGUAGGGUGCGAGCGUUUGUCCGGAAUUAUUGGGCGUAAAGGGCUCGUAGGCGGUUUGUCACGCGGGGAGUGAAAACUCGGGGGCUUAACCCCGAGCCUGCUUCCGAUACGGGCAGACUAGAGGUAUGCAGGGGAGAACGGAAUUCCUGGUGUAGCGGUGAAAAUGCGCAGAUAUCAGGAGGAACACCGGUGGCGAAGGCGGUUCUCUGGACCAUAUUGACGUGAGGAGCGAAAGCCAGGGGGAGCAAACGGG
rnacentral:rRNA from 1 species